rnacentral:rRNA from 1 species
UGGCGGCGUGCCUAAUACAUGCAAGUCGAGCGGAUUGAUGGGAGCUUGCUCCCUGAUAUCAGCGGCGGACGGGUGAGUAACACGUGGGUAACCUGCCUGUAAGACUGGGAUAACUCCGGGAAACCGGGGCUAAUACCGGAUAACUCAUUUCCUCGCAUGAGGAAAUGUUGAAAGAUGGCUUCGGCUAUCACUUACAGAUGGACCCGCGGCGCAUUAGCUAGUUGGUGAGGUAACGGCUCACCAAGGCAACGAUGCGUAGCCGACCUGAGAGGGUGAUCGGCCACACUGGGACUGAGACACGGCCCAGACUCCUACGGGAGGCAGCAGUAGGGAAUCUUCCGCAAUGGACGAAAGUCUGACGGAGCAACGCCGCGUGAGUGAUGAAGGUUUUCGGAUCGUAAAGCUCUGUUGUUAGGGAAGAACAAGUGCCGUUCGAAUAGGGCGGCACCUUGACGGUACCUAACCAGAAAGCCACGGCUAACUACGUG